UAGGAGCACCUGCGUUGGGAGGCUCAAUGAGCCAGGUGCAGGCCUUCAAAUAGCUCUUGCAGCACUGCAAGCUCUAAAAUCCACAGAUCGCACCACUGCAGGAUGCUACCAGAUUUUCCCGUUACUCUGGGCUGCUGCUGCGCAAGGCGAUAGCUGAAAAUUGGAGGGAUUAUUUUUUGAGCAUUUGACUGAAAACUGUCACUGACAGAGGUGUCCUCUUCUUGAGCAAACUGAAGGCUCCUCCGGCAGGUCAAAGCCCUUUCACCAGGAUUCCAACCCUCUGUGCUGGCUUCUGUUACUCGGCCACUUGCUCCAUCUACUGGACUAAAGAAUACAAAUAUAAUAAUGCUGAAACAGACUCUCCUAGAUGGACCAGAGACACAGCAGAGGAUGGUCUGAUGCUAUUAUUUACAGCAUAAGGUCAGCAGUACCCAGAGCUGGAGCACAAUGUGAAAACAUUUUUAAAAUUCUAUACAAGAUUAAAUAAUUCAGGCAUAAUUCUGUAGUGGCAUAAAUCUGACUUUGGUGCAGG